GACAGAGGGUGCAAACGUUGCUCGGAAUUACUGGGCGUAAAGCGCGUGUAGGCGGUUUCAUAAGUCGUGCGUGAAAGCUCCCUGGCUCAACCGGGAGAGGUCGUGCGAUACUGCGAAACUUGAGUCAGACAGAGGCAAGUAGAAUUCCGGGUGUAGUGGUGAAAUGCGUAGAUAUCCGGAGGAAUACCAGUGGCGAAGGCGACUUGCUGGGUCUGUACUGACGCUCAGACGCGAAAGCAUGGGGAGCGAACGGG
rnacentral:rRNA from 1 species